CAUGAAACAGUAUAAUUCUUAUAAGUGACAGAAAAAACUCCAAAACCCGAAUGAGAAAACAGGUUGCACAAACUCAAAAUUUAAAAGUCAAAGCUUAAACUUGAAAUGAUAUAAAUUUAAAAGAAUCCAAAUCUUGCAUGCUCUCAACCCAAGAUGGAUUUAAACCCAGAAAACUUUGAACCCCAAAUGAUCUCAUCAACCCUAUAUUAACCCGAUAAAAAGCCCAUAAUAACCAGAACUUAAUGUUAAAAAUGCAAAAUAAAAUUAUCAAUUUUAUUCUAACUUAAAUUUAAACCCAAUUAAACUUGAAAUGACUUGGAAACAAUUCAAACUUUAAAAGACAAAUCCAAAAACAACUCAAAACUUGACGUGGACCAAAACGAGCUCAAACCAUGAUGUGACUCGAACUCAAAAUCUAAUUGACCCUCCGGUUGCUGCCUCAAGUGAUCCUCCACAUAUCCUAAAAAUAAAGAGUUAAAGUCUUCCACCUUUUGGUUUAGUGAUUACGGAGGUCUUAUGAAGAUAUAAAGAUCCUGAUUUUGAGUCAAGAUUUCCUUCCAUUUUUCUCUUAUAAGAGUUAUACCCUUCCUCGAAUUUUAAAAAAAAUGAAGAAUUGCAAACCCAAAGAAAAUGGGGCAUAACACAUCGAUAAUCCCUAACAAGAGUAUGUUUGCUAAAUCACCCCGUUAAUGGUCGAUUAGAUCUUCCAUUGUUGGAAUAACAUUAGGUGGUUGAUAUAAUCAUUUUCAAAUCAAUCACCAUCCUUGCUGAUCACUUUCCUAUGGAGUUUUGCUUUUGUUAUUGUACCAUCUGUUUGAAAGGUUGUUUGUCUUUGCCCUCUAAAUGGGAUGCCAAUAAAAAAAACCACUACUCCAAG
rnacentral:lncRNA from 1 species